rnacentral:tRNA from 1 species
GGGGGUAGAUGGGUUCUGGUGUGCCCUCUGGUCUUCAAAACCAGCGCGAGGGGUUAGUAGCCUCUUGGGUGGGUUCGAUUCCCACGUACUCCCGCCA